rnacentral:rRNA from 1 species
AAGGGGAUUGCCUUAGUAGCGGCGAGUGAAGCGGCAAAAGCUCAAAUUUGAAAUCUGGCACCUUCGGUGUCCGAGUUGUAAUUUGAAGAUUGUAACCUUGGGGUUGGCUCUUGUCUAUGUUUCUUGGAACAGGACGUCACAGAGGGUGAGAAUCCCGUGCGAUGAGAUGCCCAAUCCUAUGUAAGGUGCUUUCGAAGAGUCGAGUUGUUUGGGAAUGCAGCUCUAAGUGGGUGGUAAAUUCCAUCUAAAGCUAAAUAUUGGCGAGAGACCGAUAGCGAACAAGUACAGUGAUGGAAAGAUGAAAAGAACUUUGAAAAGAGAGUGAAAAAGUACGUGAAAUUGUUGAAAGGGAAGGGUUUGAGAUCAGACUCGAUAUUUUGUGAGCCUUGCCUUCGUGGCGGGGUGACCCGCAGCUUAUCGGGCCAGCAUCGGUUUGGGCGGUAGGAUAAUGGCGUAGGAAUGUGACUUUGCUUCGGUGAAGUGUUAUAGCCUGCGUUGAUGCUGCCUGCCUAGACCGAGGACUGCGAUUUUAUCAAGGAUGCUGGCAUAAUGAUCCCAAACCGCCCGUCUUGAAACACGGACCAAAA